UAAAUGAGAAGUAUUAUAAAAUGAGGCUCCGAUGGAGGGCGUGGACAGUUCUCUUCCGUGUUGCUUCACCUGCUGAUGGUAUUGUGGUGUUUGGUCUUGGUGAUUUUGUUAAUGGAUGUGUUGUUCGGAUGUAUUGUAGAAUUAAUUGUGUACAAAUCGGGAGAGAAUUAAUGUAUUGUGAAGUUGUUGGAAUUUUUGUAAGUUGUUUUGGUUAUAAUAAAACUAAUUUGGAUUUAGUAAAGUAUGGAGCAGAGUUCUUGGAACUUAACUAGAAUCUUUGAUUGGUUAAAAAGACACGAGUUGAACAUAACUAAUAAAAUUUAUUGAAAAACGACCAGAUGGGGCGGGAGAGGCACGGGCCUAGAACUUGAAUGGAAGUGGGGGUUUGGCCCCACCUUUCCAAUUUUACUUGUAUAGAUUUCAAUUCGUUUAUGGUUAUGUGCAAAAAUUACCACCACUUGGCAUUUUACAAUGAUAUCUGAGCUAUGAAAAGAGAGAUGCGUUUGAAUAGUCA
rnacentral:lncRNA from 1 species